rnacentral:misc_RNA from 1 species
GGAAAUUGAAAAUGACUACUAGAGUCUUUGGAUUGUUGAUUAGUUGGUUUGUUGGACUGGUUGGUUGGAUUUUCACAUUGCAAGCUGUCUUCCUUUCAUAACUUCACUUGGAGGCAUAUCGAAGUAUUGGGAAACUAUUAACUCACAUUCUCAACCUUUGAACGUAAUGGAAGUUACUUCAUUUGAAGGCACUGGAACCUAAAAGCACCUGAAACCUACACUACUCAUGUCCUGCACUUCUCGACAGUUACUGUCCAUCACGUGUAGUUGCUUCUCAACUCCCACUUUAG